rnacentral:rRNA from 1 species
AUUGAACGCUGGCGGCAGGCCUAACACAUGCAAGUCGAACGUGUGGCGGACGGGUGAGUAAUGUCUGGGAAACUGCCUGCUGGAGGGGGAUAACUACUGGAAACGGUAGCUAAUACCGCAUACCAUCGGAUGUGCCCGGAUGGGAUUAGCUAGUAGGUGGGGUAAAGGCUCACCGUGGCGACGAUCCCUAGCUGGUCUGAGAGGAUGACCAGCCACACGGGAACGUGGAAACGGUCCAGACUCCUGCGGUAGGCAGCAGUGUGGAAUAUUGCGCAAUGGGCGCAAGCCUGAUGCAGUCAUGCCGCGUGUGUGGAGAAGGCCUUCGGGUUGUAAAGUACUUUCAGCGGGGAGGCGUUACCCGCAGAAGAAGCACCGGCUAACUCCGUGCCAGCAGCCGCGGUAAUUC